rnacentral:rRNA from 1 species
AGAGUUUGAUCAUGGCUCAGAUUGAACGCUGGCGGCAUGCUUUGACAUGCAAGUCGAACGGUAACGCGGGUUUCGGCCUGGCGACGAGUGGCGAACGGGUGAGUAACACAUCGGAACGUGCCCGGGAGUGGGGGGAUAACCUCGAGAAAUCGAGGCUAAUACCGCAUACGUCCUGAGGGAGAAAGCGGGGGACCGGUAACGGCCUCGCGCUCACGGAGCGGCCGAUGUCCGAUUAGCUUGUUGGUGGGGUGACGGCUCACCAAGGCGACGAUCGGUAGCUGGUCUGAGAGGAUGAUCAGCCACACUGGGACUGAGACACGGCCCAGACUCCUACGGGAGGCAGCAGUGGGGAAUUUUGGACAAUGGGGGCAACCCUGAUCCAGCCAUGCCGCGUGAGUGAAGAAGGCCUUCGGGUUGUAAAGCUCUUUCGGCCGGAACGAAAUCGCCCGGGUGAAUAAUCCGGGUGGAUGACGGUACCGGAAGAAGAAGCACCGGCUAACUACGUGCCAGCAGCCGCGGUAAUACGUAGGGUGCGAGCGUUAAUCGGAAUUACUGGGCGUAAAGCGUGCGCAGGCGGCUCUUCAAGUCAGGUGUGAAAGCCCCGGGCUUAACCUGGGAAUUGCGCUUGAAACUGGGGGGCUAGAGUGUGGCAGAGGGAGGUGGAAUUCCUGGUGUAGCGGUGAAAUGCGUAGAUAUCAGGAGGAACACCGAUGGCGAAGGCAGCCUCCUGGGCCAACACUGACGCUCAGGCACGAAAGCGUGGGGAGCAAACAGGAUUAGAUACCCUAGUAGUCC